AGGUGGUUAUUGCGGCGGUGUCCCACCUCUUCCCAUUCCGAACAGAGAAGUUAAGCCCGCCUGCGCCGAUGGUACUGCAAUGCAAUGCGGGAGAGUAGGUGGCCGCCUUUUU
rnacentral:rRNA from 2 species